GCCUAUACAUGCAAGUCGAACGAGUUCCCGUUGAUUGACGUGCUUGCACUGAUUUCAACAUUGGAACGAGUGGCGAACUGGUGAGUAACACGUGGAAAACCUGCCCAGAAGCAGGGGAUAACACUUGGAAACAGGUGCUAAUACCGUAUAACAACAAAAACCGCAUGGUUUUUGUUUGAAAGGUGGCUUCGGCUAUCACUUCUGGAUGGUUCCGCGGCGCAUUAGCUUGUUGGUGGGGUAACGGCUCACCAAGGCGAUGAUGCGUAGCCGACCUGAGAGGGUAAUCGGCCACAUUGGGACUGAGACACGGCCCAGACUCCUACGGGAGGCAGCAGUAGGGAAUCUUCCACAAUGGACGCAAGUCUGAUGGAGCAAUGCCGCGUGAGUGAAGAAGGGUUUCGGCUCGUAAAACUCUGUUGUUGAAGAAGAACGGGUGUCAGAGUAACUGUUGACAUCGUGACGGUAUUCAACCAGAAAGCCACGGCUAACUACGUGCCAGCAGCCGCGGUAAUACGUAGGUGGCAAGCGUUGUCCGGAUUUAUUGGGCGUAAAGCGAGCGCAGGCGGUUUCUUAAGUCUGAUGUGAAAGCCUUCGGCUUAACCGAAGAAGUGCAUCGGAAACUGGGGAACUUGAGUGCAGAAGAGGACAGUGGAACUCCAUGUGUAGCGGUGGAAUGCGUAUAUAUAUGGAAGAACACCACUGGCGAAGGCGGCUGUCUAGUCUGCAACUGACACUGAGGCUCGAAAGCAUGGGUAGCGAACAGGAUUAUAUACCCUGGUAGUCCCUGCCCUAGACGAUGAGUGCUACGUGUUGGGAGGGUUUUCUUCCCCUCUUUGCCGCAGCUAACGCAUGUAUAACUCCACGUUGUUGAGUACGACCGCAAGGUAGAACCUCGCACGGCAUUGUUGGGCGGCCGCAUCCAGCGUAGCAGCGGCGCCGUUUAGUUUUUUACCGACGCCUAGGAACAUAAACAUGGCCUGGGCUUUCUCCUUCUAAAUCCUCACUAUAAGACA
rnacentral:rRNA from 2 species